AUACGGAGGAUCCGAGCGUUAUCCGGAUUUAUUGGGUUUAAAGGGUGCGCAGGCGGCCAUUUAAGUCAGCGGUUAAAUCGUGGGGCUCAACCCCAUUCUGCCGUUGAUACUGGGUGGCUUGAUUGCGGUCGAGGUUGGCGGAAUUCGUUGUGUAGCGGUGAAAUGCAUAGAUAUGACGAAGAACACCGAUUGCGUAGGCAGCUGACCAGACCGCAAAUGACGCUCAUGCACGAAAGUGCGGGGAUCGAACAGGAUUAGAUACCCUGGUAGUCCGCACAGUAAACGAUGAAUUCUUGUUUUCGGCGAUAUAAUGUCGGAGGCAAAGCGAAAGCGAUAAGUAUUCCACCUGGGGAGUACGCCGGCAACGGUGAAACUCAAAUGAAUUGACGGGG
rnacentral:rRNA from 1 species